ACUGAAUAGAUACCCGGGUAGUCCUGGCAGUAAACGGUGCGCGUUUGGUGUGGGGGGAUUCGACAAUCUCCGCGCCGGAAGCUAAACGCGUUAAACGCGCCGCCUGGGAAAUACGGUCGCAAGAUUAAAACUCAAAGAAAUUGACGGGGGCCCGCACAAGCGGUGGAGUAUGUGGCUUAAUUCGAUGCAACGCGAAGAACCUUACCUGGGCUUGACAUGCAUCGCUAAGGCGGUGAAAGCCGCCGAGGGUAGCAAUACCUACUUUGCACAGGUGCUGCAUGGCUGUCGUCAGCUCGUGUCGUGAGAUGUUGGGUUAAGUCCCGCAACGAGCGCAACCCUUAUGAACUGUUGCAGCGACGCAAGUCGCGCUCUCUGUUCAGACCGCCCUGUGAAACGGGGAGGAAGGUGGGGAUGACGUCAAGUCAGCAUGGCCCUUACGCCCAGGGCUGCACACGUACUACAAUGCCCAGUACAGAGGGAGCCAAGCCGGCGACGGCAAGGAAAUCCCAAAAAACUGGGCUCAGUUCAGAUUGC
rnacentral:rRNA from 1 species